CCUCAUAGCUCAGUUGGUAGAGAAUCUGCCUGCAAUGCAGGAGACCCUAGUUCGAUUCCUGGGUUGAGAA
rnacentral:tRNA from 1 species